rnacentral:lncRNA from 1 species
CUCUAUCGUUUCCACAGUCCUCAUCAACAUCUUCUUCAUCACCCUUCACCUUAGCUUCCCCUUGCCUUACUUCUGUCUUCUCAUUGCAGUUGCUAUGCUUUGAUAAUGUUCUACAGUCCCCAUGGAACCAUUCUCUGCUCUUCUAGGCAUGGUGAGGACGUUUUAAAGGACCUUGGCCAUUCUGCAGCACAAUGAAUGUCACCACCUUUGAAUCAGGAUAGACAUGUGAAAGUUCCUUCUCCAAUGUCAGAUGGAAUCUCUCAGCCUCUGUCACAAAGCACCAUGGCAAACAGAUUGAAACACCCAGCAGGAUGGAGCAUGGAAGAGCUGGGAUCAAGCUGGCUUAGAAAGAAGACAUAGCCAGGACAGCGUAGGGACAGCAGCUAACUCGUGGUCUGGGCGCCAAGAGCCAGGACAGUAGCCUUGCCCUUUGGGAGCCCAUGGGAAGGCGAGGUCACUGAAUCGAUGCAACCCUGGGAAGAAAGAUGAGGCUGUCCUCAUCCCAGGGAAGACUUGAGCUGGGCUACUGGACGCUGAUGGACUAUCGAGUGUCCAAACGUCACUCUUGCUGGAACAGAAGGAGCCAGAGGACACUGCAAGCAUCAUGCAUUUCUGGACGUCUUCCCACCUCCCCUGGUCACCAUCCCUGCCCUGCCUCCUAAGCUAGACACCUGGUGUCCUCUUUGUUGCCCCUCCAUGGUUGCCUUCUUCAACUGUCAGAGUUGUUCUUGCCCGUGUAUGACACUCCAGCCUCACUGCUACCUCCAGGGUCAUGAGUGUCACCAGCUCCCUCCAAAACCUUAUAGCCCUCACUGCCCUGUUGGCCACCAUGUAGUGUCAGGAGGGUUGUGAACUGCAGUUAGGGUGCAGUAAAACCCGCACAGGCUUGAACCCUGACUCUGACCCCAUCCAAGCUGGCCAGAGCCUCUGACAUUCACCCUCACUGCCCUCUUCUGUACAAUGGAACACACUGACCUCACAAAGAUGUGUUCACCCAGCACUCUGGGAGGCUGAGACAGGAAGAUCAAAAGUUCAAGCCCAGAUUGAGCAAAUUGGGGAGAGUUUAUCUGAAAAGUAAAAAAAUAAAAUAAAAAUUGGGGAGAGAGAGAGAGA